UCUUGAUUAAAUACUUGUUUGCCUGAUGAAAGACCUAGCAGAUAGCAUCCACUCCUUGUUAACCGUACCAGAUUAAUUUGGGGCUUUAUCCUUUAUUAGACAUAGCAAACCACACAUUAUCAAACAAACACCGUAUACAAAUUGUGCAAAAUACGAAUUCAGCAUAACAAGGUUUGUCCCAGUCAGAUCUUUAACUCCAGAGAAAAUCAAUUUGCAUAAAUAAUACAAUAUAACACUAUCACAUCCCCGAUCAAUUAAGAACCACUAAAUCUCUUUAUAAUGGCCCAGUCUUUCUACAUGGACAGCACUCAAAAAUUCAGCCACUAUUAAAGUAAUUUGAUCAUUCCUGUCCAAGCGCAGGUCCUGAACCAUUGGUGGCAUGGAAUUGAGCCUGUUAAGUUGUAAGGACUCUAAUGAUUGUCUUCUGGCAUAAAUGCCAAAAUCACAAGAAAAGAAAACAUGUUGGGGCUUUAUUUUCUUUCGUAAUGCAAUUGUCUACUCAAUGACACUUUAAAAGUGGGAGAAAGUAAUCACGCAGGAUCUUAGGGGAAAGGAACUGCUCUCAAUUCAUUAUACCGUCACAAGGGACUCCUAAUAAGGCUUGGACAUAUCAGAGAUAGUAUGCACUACUUUUGACCUGCUGGAUCCUGUGCCAAGAGGGCUCUCAGUUGGUGGGUUCCUUAAUGGAUCUAGGACCCAGCAACUGCCCCAUCUUACCAGUGCAUGGUGCCCGCUCUGGUUCAGCAGAGACAUGAUGUACAUUGCAUCCUCAAUGCAGCAUAUAAUUGCACAACUCUAUUUGGGGAGUAAAGCUCCUAGCAUGGCAGCUGCUAUUCACACUGAUCUCUAGGCCAUGUGCAACAAACAGUGCAUGCAGAAGUCUGCACCAUACGGAUGUUGCUGAAGAUUCUCAGCACCUUGCCAAAGUCACAUGCCUGUCACAGCAUUUUGCCUGGGCCAAGUGGGUCAGCAGCUUGCAAGCUAUAGCUGUCUCAACCGGCACUACUGGUUGCAAGCCAAUCAGCAGCAGGUGCAGUGUGUGUGUGUGUGUGUGUGUGUGUGUGUGUGUGUGUAUGUGUGUGUGUGUAGACUGGAUGAGUUUUGACUUCAGCUAACAUUCACACAACUAUGUUCCAUGUGUGCAUGGAUUUACUACAGCCACAUAUUCCACAUCUCUAAAAAGUGACUACCACAUUCGUAAGUCUAUUGGCCUCUUCACUCAUUCAGCUGUACAUGUGUCACUCGGUAUAUCAAAGAGGCUAAUGGCAGGAUGGGCUUCUAUUCAUGGUCUCAAAAGAAACAAGUCAUUGGUACACAUGUUUGGGAAUCACUAGUUUAAAUCAAAGAUAUGGCUUCCUGGGGGUUUAUGGACAGUCUUCUUAGGAGCUACAACAUUUCUCUGUAGAGCACACAAAUGAAAAGUGUGGUUGUACACACACAACACUAAGUUAGGUUAUAACUGUGUCUGUGUGAGCUAAAAGACUACUUCUGAGGUUUCCUUUGGCCCAUGAAACAAGAACACUUCUCUGUGGUAGCACUCUGUUCACUUGGUGUUUAAAAACCAGAGAGCAAGUUUUAAUUAAAAGAGAAAACCCAGAAGCAUCUCACCACAACGUGAUUCACAGAGGCUGCACUGAAAAGGCCAUGCAGCAAGUGGACUCCUAAACAACAAGAACCAAAUCCUAUACAGUCCUUCAAACACCAUCAGCAUGGAAAAAAUAUUUAGCUAUAGUGAAGUAACAUACUGUUCAACACUGGCAUUCAUUGUUUUGAAAACACAGCGCACAGGAUAGGUAUACGAGUGACAGAUAAAAAAUAAUUUAACACAUGUUAAGCUCUUCUCUCUGGUUCAAAUCUUUUUGACAUAUUUCAUGUAGCUAUUGCUUUCCCUUACCUGGCACACGCAAAAACAUUCUAAAAACGACAUUCCUUUGCAAUUACUUUGACAUGUUGCUCUCCGCAGAAUUGCUCUUGCAUGCACCAGCAGCACAUAAGGUGUCCGGUUAGGAUAUUUUCCAGUGAAAUCUGGACAUACAAAAACAUGUCUGAUGUAUUGCACCUGAAGGGUUUCAAACAAAGUCGGCCAAAGACUACCUGUGUAAGCCUCAUUGAAAGGAACGGAGAUUAUGCCUCAAAACCAACUAACAGAAUUUAGCAUUUAUGUAGCACCCCUCCAUACAAUCACUUCAGAAAAUCCUUCAGUUUUCAAAAACGGAUUGGCAUUAUUAUCCCCAUGUUACAGAUGAAGGGCUGACACAGAACUGAUUCAAACAAGUAUUUCUGUCAUCUGAGGACCUUAAACAGUGGGGGUGACUUACAUGUGUGAACAGACUAUUACAGUUAACUACGGAUCAGGCCAACCAGGUGCCUGUGAGAAAACCUCAAGCAGGAUCCGAGCACAUGAGCACUUUCCCCUUCUGUGGUUUCCAGCAACUGGUAUUAAGAAACCUUCUUGCCUCAGACUAUGGAACAGAGCAUAGCCACCAUGGCUAGUGGCCAUUGAUACCGUAUCCCCCACAAAUUUGUCUUUUAAAGCCAUCCAAUCUGGUGACCAUCACCGCCUCCUGUGGGAGCAAGCUCCAGUUGGACUGUGCGCUGCCGUUAUGCUGCAGCCCGGUUUUCUCACCACUUCAUGUACAAUGCUCUUCAGGGCUGGGAAAGACUCUUGACUGAACGUCCAGUGAAGAGCCACUACAAGGAGACAUUUGACCUCCGAGUCUGGGGGUACAGUAGAGACACAAUUCUCGUUCUCUGGCCCUUUAUAUACACAACACACUCUGUAUUUAUUUUUUUAAUCUGCGAAUAAGCUUGUCUAUUAUUAUUUUUUACAAAAUAAAAACGAACUGUGCACGUUCUGUCAGAAAGCAUUUUGGCAGUUCUUAUAAAUCACAAAAUUCCACAAGGGACGUGUUUGAAAACCUCAAACUCCCAUCCAACAAUGCCCUCUACUGGAAGAAUUAAAGCAUGCAAGAAAGAGAUUUGUCUAACAAUACAGUGGGGUACCUCGGGUUACAGACGCUUCAGGUUACAGACUCCGCUAACCCAGAAUAGUACCUCGGGUUAAGAACUUUGCUUCAGGAUAAGAACAGAAAUCGUGCGGCGGCAGCGCAGCGGCAGCAGGAGGCCCCAUUAGCUAAAGUGGUGCUUCAGGUUAAGAACAGUUUCAGGUUAAGAAUGGAUCUCCGGAACGAAUUAAGUUCUUAACCUGAGGUACCACUGUACUGCAUUUGAAGAGGCUUCCAUGAGAGAACACAAGAGGCAUUUUCUGACUGGGGGUGGGUGUCACCAAAAGACAAAGAGUAAAUUACUUUCUCUGCAUUGCCUAAAUUUCCUGCUGCUUUUUGCAUUGUUCUGUCAGGGUUUGCUGCCAAGCUCCAGAGUUGCUUGGUAGACAACAUGCAAAGUACUGUAUCUAAAUUUAUAUAUUUGUUGAGCCUCUAAGUGCCUCCCACACCCUGAAAAGAGUAUUCGAUGCUGCUGCUCAUCCUGUCCAUAU